rnacentral:rRNA from 1 species
UGGGGAAUUUUGGACAAUGGGCGAAAGCCUGAUCCAGCAAUGCCGCGUGUGUGAAGAAGGCCUUCGGGUUGUAAAGCACUUUUGUCCGGAAAGAAAUCCUUGGCUCUAAUACAGUCGGGGGAUGACGGUACCGGAAGAAUAAGCACCGGCUAACUACGUGCCAGCAGCCGCGGUAAUACGUAGGGUGCAAGCGUUAAUCGGAAUUACUGGGCGUAAAGCGUGCGCAGGCGGUUUGCUAAGACCGAUGUGAAAUCCCCGGGCUCAACCUGGGAACUGCAUUGGUGACUGGCAGGCUAGAGUAUGGCAGAGGGGGGUAGAAUUCCACGUGUAGCAGUGAAAUGCGUAGAGAUGUGGAGGAAUACCGAUGGCGAAGGCAGCCCCCUGGGCCAAUACUGACGCUCAUGCACGAAAGCGUGGGGAGCAAACAGGAUUAGAUACCCCUGGUAGUCCACGCCCUAAACGAUGUCAACUAGUUGUUGGGGGAUUCAUUUCCUUAGUAACGUAGCUAACGCGUGAAGUUGACCGCCUGGGGGAGUACGGUCGCAAGAUUAAAACUCAAAUGAAUUGACGGGGUC